UGCAGUCGAACGGGGUUCAGGGUUCGGCCUGGACUUACCUGGCGCACGGGUGAGUAACGCGUGGGUAUCUGCCCUGGGGUGGGGGAUAACCGCUGGAAACGGCGGCUAAUACCGCAUACGCCCUACGGGGGAAAGCCGAGAGGCGCUCUGGGAGGAGCCCGCGUCCGAUUAGCUUGUUGGUGGGGUAACGGCCCACCAAGGCUUCGAUCGGUAGCUGGUCUGAGAGGAUGAUCAGCCACACUGGGACUGAGACACGGCCCAGACUCCUACGGGAGGCAGCAGUGGGGAAUAUUGGACAAUGGGCGCAAGCCUGAUCCAGCCAUGCCGCGUGAGUGAAGAAGGCCUUAGGGUUGUAAAGCUCUUUCACCGGUGAAGAUGAUGACGGUACCCGCAGAAUAAGCCCCGGCUAACUUCGUGCCAGCAGCCGCGGUAAUACGAAGGGGGCUAGCGUUGCUCGGAAUGACUGGGCGUAAAGGGCGCGUAGGCGGAUUGUACAGUCAGGGGUGAAAGUCCUGGGCUCAACCUGGGGACUGCCUUUGAAACUGAUAUUCUUGAGACCGGGAGAGGAUGGCGGAAUUCCCAGUGUAGAGGUGAAAUUCGUAGAUAUUGGGAAGAACACCGGUGGCGAAGGCGGCCAUCUGGACCGGAUCUGACGCUGAGGCGCUAAAGCGUGGGGAGCAAACAGGAUUAGAUCCCCUGGUAGUCCACGCCGUAAACGAUGUGUGCUAGCCGUUGGGGCACUUAGUGUUUCAGUGGCGCAGCUAACGCGUUAAGCACUCCGCCUGGGGAGUACGGCCGCAAGGUUAAAACUCAAAGGAAGUGACGGGGGCCCGCACAAGCGGUGGAGCAUGUGGUUUAAUUCGAAGCAACGCGCAGAACCUUACCAGCCCUUGACAUGCCCGUUUCGGCCUCGAGAUGGAUCCUUUCGGUUCGGCCGGACAGGAUACAGGUGCUGCAUGGCUGUCGUCAGCUCGUGUCGUGAGAUGUUGGGUUAAGUCCCGCAACGAGCGCAACCCUCGCCCUUAGUUACCAUCGGUUCGGCCGGGCACUUUGGGGAAACUGCCGGUGACAAGCCGGAGGAAGGCGGGGAUGACGUCAAGUCCUCAUGGCCCUUACGGGCUGGGCUACACACGUGCUACAAUGGCGGUGACAGCGGGCAGCGAAGGGGCGACCUGGAGCCAAUCCCCAAAAGCCGUCUCAGUUCGGAUUGUACUCUGCAACUCGAGUGCAUGAAGUUGGAAUCGCUAGUAAUCGCGGCUCAGCAUGCCGCGGUGAAUACGUUCCCGGGCCUUGUACACACCGCCCGUCACACCAUGGGAGUUGGUUUUACCCGAAGCCGGUGAGCUAACCGCAAGGAGG
rnacentral:rRNA from 1 species